CAGAUAAACUCAGCUCCGAGUAGUUCCCCACUCUUAUCCAAAUUCCGAAAGAGAGACACUCUCUUCUCAAAAUCUCAAAGCAACACUCUCAACUUUGUACAAACAAACGUUAAUGGCAGUUCUUCUACGCUUUCUACACUCUCCAUCUCUAACUCACAACUUCCCCACUGAACAACAACAACUCACACGCACGCCUUUGUCCAAUCUUAGUACCUACAACUACAAACACAAUCUCUCUCACUCCGUUUCCAUUAAAACCAAAAGACGACUUAGUAAUAGCAACUUCGUUUUGCGCUUCUCUUCUUCCACCACCCAAGAACAAGCUCAAGCUCCUUCAUCUUCUUCUUCACCCAAUGUUUCAACCGAAGCCCAAGUAUUGGAACCAGAAACUGAGGAGUUUUCACGAGACAGACUGAUUGCCCAGAACGUCCCUUGGUCUUGUACCGCCGAAGAUGUUCGUACUCUCUUUGAGAAACAUGGGACGGUCCUAGACGUUGAGCUCUCUAUGCAUAACAAGGUCAGAAACAGAGGUUUGGCCUUUGUCACAAUGGGUUCGCCUGAGGAGGCCCUCACGGCUCUCAAUAAUCUCGACUCGUAUGAGUUCGAGGGCCGCACUUUAAAGGUCAAUUAUGCCAGGGCACGAAAGAAGAAACCUUCCCCUCCCCCUGUGCAACCAAAGCCAUUAACAUUCAAUUUGUUUGUAGCAAAUUUGCCAUUUGAAGCAAGGUCUAAAGAUCUCAGAGAAUUCUUUGGUUCAGAGAACAGUAGUCUUGUUUCUGCACAAGUUAUAUUUCAUGAGAAUCCUAGAAAGUCCUCUGGGUAUGGAUUUGUGGCCUUCAAAUACAAGAAAGAUGCUGACGAAGCUCUUUCUUCUUUCCAAGGGAAGAUAUUUAUGGGAAGACCAAUUCGAAUAGCACGUAGUCGACAAUUUGUUAAACUACGAGCAGAAGAGAAUGCAGAGUCUGGAGAUACAUCAACUACAGAAGAGAGUGCAGAGUCUGGAGAUACAUCAACUGAGUUGAACUCUAGUGUGGAGCAAGCAGAUACUGCUGAUGAGAAUGGAAAGUGAAUUUUCGGAGACAGUGAAUUCGCUUCAUUUUCUUCAUUUUUGUGAUUCAGUAGGGAUGUGUGUGCACAAAUGCUUGGAUUUCAUGCUUAAAUCAGUGCAUUUCUCAUAUGGCGAUGCAGAAACCAGUGUAUUAGGGCCAUUCAUUUCCUGGAUGUUCUUAUACACAUUUUAGAUCUGUAUUUUAUUUUAUGUUGAUACUUCUUCCAUGUUCUUUGAUGUUGGCUUACCUAUGCUUAUUUGUUGUAGAUCAUUGCUGGUUUCAUGUGUACAUUUCUCUAUCUUGAUAGUUGAUUCUGUGUCCUCAA